GCUACCUUUUUCUUUUUUUAAGAAUGUGAAAAUGAGUACAGAUUUCAAUUUUUCUUAAUCAAAUUCCUAGGUGGUUUUUUUGUUUUGUUUGUUUUUCUGUCCAAGAGUUAUCUUCCUGAAGUAUCCACUUGGAGGGUAAAAGGCUUGGAGUUUCACUCAGAGUGACUGUAGGUGUUUAUACUCAAAGCAGGGUUCACCCUCGCUCAGUUUCAGUUCGGACUCACAAUCUUCUCAAGGGGAUGUCUCCUUGGCCCCUCUAUGCUACUAAACAUAAAAGUGAAAAUACACCUCAGAAAAGGCAAUUCAUCAGGAAUGACGGUUUCUUCUCUCAGCAGUAGUUCCUCAGAGCCUGAGUGGGCUGGGGCCUGGUGGAGGUCAAGCUCUGUUCUACCUGAGUAUGACCUGCCUCCAGAGCUCCUUCAGUGCAGCUGACAACAGGAGUGCCACUUACAAGGGGGAAGGAGCAGGUAUUAGGGGAGACAGGAGAGAGACCUAAGGAGUUACUGAGUAAAGGUGAGUUCCAGGCUUAUCAACUGAAAUUUCAGGAUUCUCACUCACUCAAGUAUGUAACAUUAACUCUAAAAUCACAUGCCACCCAGCAGCUAAGCACAUUUGGCAGUGCUGUUCAGUGUUUACCUCUCAGCUACUCUAUUCAAAACAAUGUAAAAACUCAAAGAACAACAUUUUGUAAGAAAAACAGGUUUAUAUAAUUUUAAUACUGGAGAAAAGCUAUAUAGUAAAUCUCUUAUGUUGGAAAUCAACUUUAUGACAAAUCAAGUAUUUUUAAGACAUCUUGACUUUGAACUGAGUAUAGUAUCUGUGCAUACAUUCUUCUUCUUCUUGUUUUUGUUUUUGUUUUUGUUUUUUCGAGACAGGGUUUCUCUGUAUAGCUCUGGCUGUCCUGGAACUCACUUUGUAGACCAGGCUGGCCUCAAACUCAGAAAUCUGCCUGCCUCUGGCUCCCAAAUGCUGGGAUCAAAGGUGUGUGCCACCAUGCCCGGCUCGCAUACAUUCUUCUUUUCCAUACAUUUUUUUUUCUUCUCUCUUUGUUUUUUUGGGGGGUGGGGUGGGGAGGGGUGUCUCAUUAUGUUGCCUUGGCUGUAACUCACUAUGUAGAUGAGACUGGCCUCAAACUUAGAUCUGCCUGCCUCUGCCUCUUGAUUGCUGGGAUUAAAAUCAUGUGCAGGAUGAUCCUUAUGUAACUUACAGCAUGACCUCUAAAUUUGGGGGUUAGUAGUAAUUUUGUUAUAUGAUUUCUAAACAACUAUUUUCCUAACAAUAUUUUCCUAUGUAUUCUUUGGUACCAAAAAAAAAAUUGUAGAACAGCAUAUUCAAUGCUCAUAUGUUUGGGUCAAGUAGAAAAAAUAAUGCUGAAAUUCACUGGAUUCUUGACUUUUCUGCACUAUGUUGUGGUAUUCCUCAGGUAUCAGUCUUGACCACAGUUUUUAAUAAGACAACUUACAGAUGAUAAAAUAAUUAAAUCAAUCAAUAUUAAUUUAAGUUAUACCAAGUAGUAUCUAAUGGAAAACAAAGAAAAUUACUAUUAUGGAAAACAAAACAUGAGUUAUGCAAAUAAUACUCAUUUAUGGAAUAACUCUUACCUCUCACAGGAUGUAAUUAAAGAGAAAUCUUAGAUGAAGUAAAGAAAAUCAUGCAUAUAUUUUAAAAAUUCACAAGUGGAAACAGUUAAAUAAAAAGCACCUGGUCAGAAGCACGUAGACUUUUAAGAUUAAUGUCAAGCAGUAUGUUGCUUCCAAGAGGAGAAAGUGAACAAAGGUGAUUGGGAAGAGAAAUGGAGACGUGUGUGGACUAUGCUAAUUUGAGACAUGUCAGUGAUCUUAACUUAUUCUUUUGUAUAUGUGAAAGACUAGUCUGACUGAAUAGCAACUGAAUAGCAAGCCCUGGAAUCGGUCCUAUCUUUGCAUCCCCACUGCUGUGAUUACAAAGCAUGGACCAGCACACCUGGCUUUUUAUAUUGAUCCUGAGAAUUAAACUCAGGUCUUCAUGCUUAUGGCAAAUAAUUUACUGAGAAGUUACCAUCCCAGUCCAAAUUCUAACCUUUUCUUAUACAUGAGAGACAAUAACCAAUACUAUAGAAUACUUUUGGCUAUUUUUUACAAACUUAAAUGAUGCUAAUGCUCUUAAAGUAUUACUUGUACAAUGUUUGUGAUGAGGGCUGGAGAAGAAUCAUUAUGCUCUCAAGUUAUCACAAAUAUCUGUUUACAUCAAAUCCAGUUUUUAAAACGAUACUUUAACAGCAAUUUGAGAACAUCUAUGCUUUUUUCCAGUUAUUCCCC
rnacentral:lncRNA from 1 species